UACGGAGGACCCAAGCGUUAUCCGGAUUUAUUGGGUUUAAAGGGUGCGUAGGCGGAUUGAUAAGUCAGUGGUGAAAUCCUGCAGCUUAACUGCAGAACUGCCAUUGAAACUGUUGAUCUUGAGUACGGUUGAGGUGGGCGGAAUGUGUCAUGUAGCGGUGAAAUGCUUAGAUAUGACACAGAACACCAAUUGCGAAGGCAGCUCGCUAAGCCGUUACUGACGCUAAUGCACGAAAGCGUGGGGAGCGAACAGG
rnacentral:rRNA from 1 species